GAUGAACGCUGGCGGCGUGCCUAAUACAUGCAAGUCGAGCGAACAGACGAGGAGCUUGCUCCUCUGACGUUAGCGGCGGACGGGUGAGUAACACGUGGAUAACCUACCUAUAAGACUGGGAUAACUUCGGGAAACCGGAGCUAAUACCGGAUAAUAUAUUGAACCGCAUGGUUCAAUAGUGAAAGACGGUUGUGCUGUCACUUAUAGAUGGAUCCGCGCCGCAUUAGCUAGUUGGUAAGGUAACGGGUUACCAAGGCAACGAUGCGUAGCCGACCUGAGAGAGUGAUAGGCCACACUGGAACUGAGACACGGUCCAGACUCCUACGGGAGGCAGCAGUAGGGAAUCUUCCGCAAUGGGCGAAAGCCUGGCGGAGCAACGCCGAGUGAGUGAUGAAGGUCUUCGGAUCGUAAAACUCUGUUAUUAGGGAAGAACAAAUGUGUAAGUAACUAUGCACGUCUUGACGGUACCUAAUCAGAAAGCCACGGCUAACUACGUG
rnacentral:rRNA from 1 species